rnacentral:rRNA from 1 species
ACUCAAAUGAAUUGACGGGGACCCGCACAAGCGGUGGAGCAUGUGGUUUAAUUCGAUGCAACGCGAAGAACCUUACCUGGCCUUGACAUGUCUGGAAGUCUGCAGAGAUGCGGAUGUGCCUUCGGGAACCAGAACACAGGUGCUGCAUGGCUGUCGUCAGCUCGUGUCGUGAGAUGUUGGGUUAAGUCCCGCAACGAGCGCAACCCUUGUCCUUAGUUGCCAUCAUUAAGUUGGGAACUCUAAGGAGACCGCCGGUGACAAACCGGAGGAAGGUGGGGAUGACGUCAAGUCAUCAUGGCCUUUAUGGCCAGGGCUACACACGUGCUACAAUGGCAAGUACAGAGGGAAGCCAACCGGCGACGGGGAGCUAAUCCCAGAAAACUUGUCUUAGUCCGGAUUGGAGUCUGCAACUCGACUCCAUGAAGUUGGAAUCGCUAGUAAUCGCAGAUCAGCAUUGCUGCGGUGAAUACGUUCCCGGGUCUUGUACACACCGCCCGU